GCCUAGAUACACAGAGGCAGCCUACAAAUUUGCUAUAGAGAGCAGCGGAAGUAAUUUAGGUGUUCUUCCACUUGACAAGUAUCGCCUGUUCCUGUCUUCAAGUGUACCAAAACGGGGGAAUCAUAUCAAUGCCAUUACACUUCCUUCCUACACCAAGAACAAGGCUUUUAUAAUAACACCCUAUCCCGCGAUAGAGGGCGUGCCAACUUUUUGCGCCUGCUCACUGACUACGAAUCAGAUGAAGUCAUUUGUAUGGAUCCCCUAACGAAAGUUGAAUCAACAAAGAUGUGGCUACCAGCUGCAAACAGUAAAAAAUCCAUACUUCCAUUCACGGUAAAUUUUGGAGAAGAGCAAGUCACAGAUAUCAAAUUUACAACAAUCAACAUUAUCCAAGAAGGGGCAAAUGACGAGUGAUGUUCCGUUUCGGUUAUAGAACCAAAAGGAAGCUUGAAAAUAGCAGAAAACUCACAGGCGACAAUGCAUAUGUUACAUUUGGUUUCAUCUGCACUUCAAAGUAAAACUGAAGGUCCCAUUACAGUAGCCAGCAAUGACGGAGCAGUUCUAUGUGGUGUAUUUUGUGUUGUGUUUAACACACUUCAACAGUUGUCUAUGGACAGAGAGGUGGACAUUUUCACUGCUGUCCGUCAGAUACAGAUCAGACGACCGGAACUCUGCUUGUCUCUGGCAA